CUUCACUCACUGUUUUUCCAGAUGCCUGAUUUUGAUGUGGGUUCUAUCACCUUUCAUGAUCUUAAUUACAUUAAUUAAAGUGCCUGGAAAACCAGGCUCCAAUAUGUUGAUAGGAAAACCUUAGUUGCCUGUGAACUGAAUAAGUGGGGAGUUAAAUAGGAAACUAAAAAGGAACUGUGUGGUUUCUUGCUGGUUGGGUAUCCUAGGGAAACAACAGGGUGCUCAACUCGUCCUCCAGGCAGAUGGUCCAGGUUUGGACCUCAGUCCAGGUGUGCCACGUCAUCACCGGGGUGAGAUCUGGAAGUUUCUAGCUGAGCAGUUCCACCUUAAACAUCCAUUUCCCAGUAAACAGCAGCCAAAGGAUGUGCCCUACAAAGAGCUCUUGAAGAAGCUGACCUCCCAGCAGCACGCCAUCCUCAUUGACCUCGGGCGAACCUUUCCAACACAUCCAUACUUCUCUGCCCAGCUUGGAGCAGGUCAGCUGUCACUUUACAACAUUCUGAAGGCCUACUCACUUCUGGACCAGGAAGUUGGAUACUGUCAAGGUCUCAGCUUCGUGGCAGGCAUUUUGCUCCUUCAUAUGAGUGAGGAAGAAGCAUUCAAGAUGCUCAAGUUCCUGAUGUUUGACAU
rnacentral:lncRNA from 1 species